UUCCCACAAACCCUUUCAUCAGUCAAAAUGUCUGCUUCCUUGAGUUGUCAGAGUGUGAUAUCGGUGACAAACAUGUUGACAUUAGUUCAAUAACUGUUUGAGAUUAUUCUACUUUAAAAAGUGUUGUGAUAUAUUCUAACCAUGACCAGUUAUUUUGAUACGUGGGCGAGGCUUUGACAAACAGCGUGUUUCUGGCUAGCCAAUUAUAUAGCAGCCAAUGUUACUUGGCAGUUGCUCUCGUCUUUGUUUUCACACCUUUGCCCCACAGAACGCGCUUGCCAGAGUCGGCACUUCGAUAUACAAUAACUCUGCAACACGAGCACUUCAUGUCACUGCAGCAUGCUGCAAGAAUCGCUUGUAUUCGGGUGGGGAAAGGAGACCGACCACUAACCUAUGAGCAAGCACUCCACCCCCACCACAUAGGACACCGCAAGGGCUGGCUCUCCCAGCACACUAGUAACCUACAGGGAGAGGGAGGAGCAUCAGAUCGUACUGUGGAAGACGACGUUUGUACGACGUUUCCUCUUCGGGAACUUUCAAUAACUGCCUGGCCAAUGAGAUUGUGAUAAAGCGACGAGGCAACAUGCUGGUGGGGUGUACCCUGAUGCUGCAGAAAUUCCCUUCACAGAAGUUCUACUUCCUGAUUGGCUACACGGAGACACUGCUCUCACUUCUACAAGUGUCCUGUUAAGAUGGAGGUACAGACCCUGGAGGAUAAGGCUGUCUACAAGUACCUCAGACAGGAAUUGCUAACAGAUUUGACUUUCAAGACUUGUCAUACAGGACUAUUUUGGGGAAACUCACCACCGUACAGUUGUAAAAAAUAAAUGGUAUUUGAAUGAGUCUAUUCAUCUCUAUCUACAGUGUGUGGAAACCAACUAUUGAGUGUGUGCCUUGGAGUUGGCUCUUCACAGUAGGAAUAGACAGACUACCAGAUAGUGUUAUCUUCAGGUUAACAGCAGUACACCUGUGUAUUCAGUCAGGUGAAACGUCAACUGGGUGAAAAUAAAUCUAAUGUAUACAAGUGACACGCGUCUAUCCUACACGGCAGACAAUCUGUUCCAACAUAGUACAUUUUAAGGAGAAGGAAGGAGAAAGGUAGGAAAGCGUGUCACAAAUAGGCAUUGUGUCAGAUUCAAACCCACGUAGUUAGUGGUAGGUAUGUGCUCCAUAGGUGCUGGUAUUGACAGCCAGACCUUACAUUUUCCAGAGCAUUCUGUAACACAUUGCACCCUCCUGAACAGGCCCCAUUGUUUUUCCCAUCUCCUCUUUGAAUUGGAUUCCAUUCCAGUCUAGAACUAUUCACUACUUGUAAAUCAUGUGUUGGAGUUAAAUGGACUUAUGAAAAACUCAGUGGAAUGCUUUUUCGUUUAUUGAUUUCUCAUGACGCGGUCACAUUGAACAAAGCAUUAAAAAGCUGCUUCAGUGCAAAAAGACAAGGCACACAGAUUACAUCAUCUUCGUCCAUAUCAAAGGUUAGAGUAUGAACAAUUCCCUUAAAUAUCAGUGAUAUAUUCCUGUCUGUAAGGCCACAUUGAUUUUUCAAAACAAUUAAAACGAUUCCACACGAAUAACAUUUGUCUGAUCUACAUCUAGGAAAAUGUCCCUCUUGAUUUAUUUUGGAAAAAAAGGGUCUCAUGGCUAUAAUGGUUAAUACUCAGACUGUAUCACUCAUUGUAGAACAUUUUGUUUACACAGACAGUAAACUUCACAUUCUCAGACACCUUGCCUGUGUCCCAAUCUGUUCUUUCUUCUAAAGUGUGCACUUGUACACUCCUUCCCAUACAUUUAAUACCAUUGGAUCAGUAUAGACAUGGACUAAAGGGAGUUAAUGUCUUAUAAUACCAGUAAUUUACUUUGAAAUCCACGAAGUCAACAAGUGCACACUAAAUGGAAGAAAGUACAGCUUAUUGUGAGGCAGGUUGGGAGGCACACAAACAGCAAAGAUAGGACAAAUACCACUUGUCCUCUGGGCUCACAUUCUGAAGGAACAGGCUCGUUCAGUUUUCCCUUCUUUCACCUCUCUUUCCCUGGAAAAGUGCUCAUAGACUAAAAUGUAAAACACAGCUCUCGUCUUCCUUAUGCUCCAUACAUACAGCGAGUGGCAAACAGGGAAAUCAUUCCAUUGGGCGAGAAGUAGCCACUUCGCCACCCACAGUGUGAACAAGACCAUAAAGCAAGGGGAAAGGCAGGUUGGCUAAAUGGGAUUGAUGGU